GACGAACGCUGGCGGCGUGCUUAACACAUGCAAGUCGAACGGAAAGGCCCUGCUUUUGUGGGGUGCUCGAGUGGCGAACGGGUGAGUAACACGUGAGUAACCUGCCCUUGACUUUGGGAUAACUUCAGGAAACUGGGGCUAAUACCGGAUAGGAGCUCCUGCUGCAUGGUGGGGGUUGGAAAGUUUCGGCGGUUGGGGAUGGACUCGCGGCUUAUCAGCUUGUUGGUGGGGUAGUGGCUUACCAAGGCUUUGACGGGUAGCCGGCCUGAGAGGGUGACCGGCCACAUUGGGACUGAGAUACGGCCCAGACUCCUACGGGAGGCAGCAGUGGGGAAUAUUGCACAAUGGGCGGAAGCCUGAUGCAGCAACACCGCGUGCGGGAUGACGGCCUUCGGGUUGUAAACCGCUUUCGCCUGUGACGAAGCGUGAGUGACGGUAAUGAGUAAAGAAGCACCGGCUAACUACGUG
rnacentral:rRNA from 1 species